rnacentral:rRNA from 1 species
AGAGUUUGAUCCUGGCUCAGAACGAACGCUGGCGGCAGGCUUAACACAUGCAAGUUGAACGUGAUUUGUUGGGUGCUUGCACCGAGCAAUGAAAGUAGCGCACUGGUGAGUAACACGUGGGAACGUACCUUUUGGUGGGGAACAACAGUUGGAAACGACUGCUAAUACCGCAUAAGCCCUGAGGGGGAAAGAUUUAUCGCCGAAAGAACGGCCCGCGGAAGAUUAGGUAGUUGGUGGGGUAACGGCCUACCAAGCCGACGAUCUAUAGCUGGUCUGAGAGGACGAUCAGCCACAUUGGAACUGAGACACGGUCCAAACUCCUACGGGAGGCAGCAGUGAGGAAUAUUGGGCAAUGGAGGCAACUCUGACCCAGCCAUGCCGCGUGAGUGAAGAAGGUUUUCGGAUUGUAAAGCUCUUUCGGGUGUGACGAUGAUGACGGUAGCACCUAAAGAAGCCCCGGCUAACUUCGUGCCAGCAGCCGCGGUAAUACGAAGGGGGCAAGCGUUGUUCGGAAUUACUGGGCGUAAAGGGAGUGUAGGCGGUUAUGUAAGAUAGUGGUGAAAUCCCAGAGCUUAACUUUGGAAUUGCCAUUAUGACUAUGUGGCUAGAAUUACAGAGAGGAUAGUGGAAUACCCAGUGUAGAGGUGAAAUUCGUAGAUAUUGGGUAGAACACCAGUGGCGAAGGCGACUAUCUGGCUGUAUAUUGACGCUGAGGCUCGAAAGCAUGGGGAUCAAACAGGAUUAGAUACCCUGGUAGUCCAUGCUGUAAACGAUGAGUGCUUGUUGUCGGUGUAAAAUCGGUGACGAAGUUAACGCGUUAAGCACUCCGCCUGGGGAGUACGGUCGCAAGAUUAAAACUCAAAGGAAUUGACGGGGACCCGCACAAGCGGUGGAGCAUGUGGUUUAAUUCGAUGCAACGCGAAGAACCUUACCAACUCUUGACAUCCUUAUCGGGGAGAU